rnacentral:rRNA from 1 species
GACAGAUGAACUGAUAUAACUCUAAGCGGUGGAUCACUCGGCUCGUAUGUCGAUGAAGAGCGCAGCCAGCUGCGUGAAGUAAUGUGAAUUGCAGGACACAUUGAACAUCGAUAUCUUGAACGCACAUUGCGGCCUCGGGUAUUCCCGAGGCCACGCCUGUCUCAGGGUCGGUUUAAAGUAUCUAUCGUCAGUUGACUCAC